GCUUCCGUCGUACAAUGGAUAGUAUGUCAGAUUCCGGUUCUGAUGAUUGAGGUUCGAAUCCCCACGGGAGCA
rnacentral:tRNA from 1 species